rnacentral:lncRNA from 1 species
AUACAUGCUUGCUAGACUUUGAGCCACACAUUUACUAUUUACUACUUAUGAGCAUUGAGUGUGGUCAAGCUGUGUAGACCCUUAGGAGCUUGUCAUGUGGUUAAAUCAAGAUUCACUUGCACGUUCACUCAUAUAUGCUACUUCUACUCCGGAAGUACCAUCCACAUAUAUUCACCCAUUCCAUCUCCAGAAUCACCCAAAAAUAUUCUACUCCUAAUCCAGGAGAGAAUAGCCAAAAAUAUUUCUGUUUUUCCCUGUGAAAUAAAUGCUCAAGUUAUCUUGUUACUACCACUUGCUACAUUAUCUCAAG